ensembl:lncRNA
GGUGAGAGCGUGAAACAGCAGCAGGGUCCACGUGGAAGUUUGCAGGAUAUUCGGCUCAACAGACCGAUUCUAGCAGACCAGACUAAUGUGCUGACAAGCGGUAGUUUUGUACCUAUCGAGGCCAAUGUCAUUCAGCGAACCCCCGGAGCAAAUCGACUGUCCAAGAAGAAUUUGAAAAGAUCGGCGGGAAUAGGCGGGGCUAUACCCUGCUCACCACUGGCCAUAGAACAGCUACAAAUUCCUUAUAAAAAGGCCCGCAAGGACGCCACCCACGGUGGUCUAGCUCCGGAGAAUAUUACCCAGGUUAUUCAGGCCGUUAUAAACCCGCAAAUUGCGCCACAUGGAGCGGCAUGGACUGAUUCCAACCACCGUGUGAUCGGGGACGUGGAGGUGCAUGUGUCGGCGUCGCCUACAGAGACCGUCACCGUGCAACCGGAUGG